rnacentral:rRNA from 1 species
GAUGAACGCUGGCGGCGUGCCUAAUACAUGCAAGUCGAGCGAACGGACGAGAAGCUUGCUUCUCUGAUGUUAGCGGCGGACGGGUGAGUAAUACGUGGAUAACCUACCUAUAAGACUGGGAUAACUUCGGGAAACCGGAGCUAAUAUCGGAUAAUAUUUUGAACCGCGUGGUUCAAAAGUGAAAGACGGUCUUGCUGUCACUUAUAGAUGGAUCCGCGCUGCAUUAGCUAGUUGGUAAGGUAACGGCUUACCAAGGCAACGAUGCAUAGCCGACCUGAGAGGGUGAUCGGCCACACUGGAACUGAGACACGGUCCAGACUCCUACGGGAGGCAGCAGUAGGGAAUCUUCCGCAAUGGGCGAAAGCCUGACGGAGCAACGCCGCGUGAGUGAUGAAGGUCUUCGGAUCGUAAAACUCUGUUAUUAGGAAAGAACAUAUGUGUAAGUAACUGUGCACAUCUGGACGGUACCUAAGCAGAAAGCCACGGCUAACUACGU